UACGUAGGGGGCGAGCGUUGUCCGGAUUUAUUGGGCGUAAAGAGCGUGUAGGCGGCCAGGUAGGUCUGCUGUGAAAACUCGAGGCUCAACCUCGAGACGUCGGCGGAAACCAUCUGGCUAGAGUCCGGAAGAGGAGAGUGGAAUUCCUGGUGUAGCGGUGAAAUGCGCAGAUAUCGAGAGGAACACCGUGCGGCGAAGGCGGGUUGCUGGGCUGACACUGACGCUGAUGCGCGAAAGCCAGGGGAGCGAACGGG
rnacentral:rRNA from 1 species